rnacentral:rRNA from 1 species
GACGAACGCUGGCGGCGUGCUUAACACAUGCAAGUCGAACGGAAAGGCCCUGCUUUUGUGGUGUGCUCGAGUGGCGAACGUGUGAGUAACACGUGAGUAACCUGCCCUUCACUUUGGGAUAACUUCAGGAAACUGUGGCUAAUACCGGAUAGGCGCUCCUGCUGCAUGGUGGUGGUUGGAAAGUUUUGGCGGUUGGGGAUUGACUCGCGGCUUAUCAGCUUGUGGGUGGGGUAGUGGCUUACCAAGGCUUUGACGGGUAGCCGGCCUGAGAGGGUGACCGGCCACAUUGGGACUGAGAUACGGCCCAGACUCCUCCGGGAGGAAGCAGUGGGGAAUAUUGCACAAUGGGCGGAAGCCUGAUGAAGGAAGGCGGGGUGCGGGAUGACGGCCUUCGGGUUGUAAACCGCUUUCGCAUGUGACGAAGCGUGAGUGACGGUAAUGGGUAAAGAAGCACCGGCUAACUACGUG